AACGAACGCUGGCGGCAUGCCUAACACAUGCAAGUCGAACGAGACCUUCGGGUCUAGUGGCGCACGGGUGCGUAACGCGUGGGAACCUGCCCUUAGGUUCGGAAUAACUCCCCGAAAGGGGUGCUAAUACCGGAUAAUGUCUUCGGACCAAAGAUUUAUCGCCGUUGGAUGGGCCCGCGUUGGAUUAGCUAGUUGGUAGGGUAAAAGCCUACCAAGGCGACGAUCCAUAGCUGGUCUGAGAGGAUGAUCAGCCACACUGGGACUGAGACACGGCCCAGACUCCUACGGGAGGCAGCAGUGGCGAAUAUUGGACAAUGGGCGAAAGCCUGAUCCAGCAAUGCCGCGUGAGUGAUGAAGGCCUUAGGGUUGUAAAGCUCUUUUAACCGGGAUGAUAAUGACAGUACCGGGAGAAUAAGCUCCGGCUAACUCCGUG
rnacentral:rRNA from 1 species